AUAGCUUGCACACAGUCUCUCUAAUAUUUUCCAGUAGUAAUUGUGAAGGUUUUCAAUUUCAUUUUACUUAAUUCUGCAUAUCUCUCUUCUUAUUCUUGCAACGUGGGAAACAGGGAAAAACCUGUUUAAAAAUGAUGAUACCAUCUUAGUCCAGGUUGUGAUCAAACAGGGAGGUAGGUAGAACAACCAAUCUUUGGUUGCAUCAUCCAACGAGAAUGGAAAAGCUCUUAGUUUGAUAUGUUCUUUAAAGACUCCUUGCGACUUCAUAUCAAACACACCAUGUGAAAUUCCUUAAGGUACUUGCAUGGGUUCUCGUUCUCCAGCCCUCUGAAUAUAGGUAGCAGGUGAAUUAAACCACACUUUAGCUCA
rnacentral:lncRNA from 1 species